UUAAAUAAACAAGGUGGAGCUACCAAAGUAACGAGAGAGAGCCCUUUCCAGGGGACAUGGAAAGCAGAGAGACCUGUAACAUUAAAUACAUACUAUUUAAAGGAAACAGGAAAGUGACUCUACACUUUUGUGUGCUGGACACUCACUAGGAUCACCUGGGGUAUAUUAAACACUGUGAUGUCUGGACCCCACCUCAGAGAUGAUACUUUAACACAUCUGCAGUGCCCAGGCAUUGACAUUUUUAAAAUCUUCCUAGAUAACUUUGAUGUGCACCACCUAAUCAGUGUUCUCCAAUGAGUUUGGAGCUGACAAGCUGAGAAGCCAGUGCUCUAGUAAUGAACAUUCUCCUUACUCCUCCUUGGGAGGAUUAGAUCACAGAGGGAGCUUGAGUUAUCUUAUUUCCCAGCAGGGAUCCUGGGCUGGGCUGAGCCAAUCCCAGUCCCCUCAUGCAGUGUGGGGCAGUUAUUCCUUCCACCAUUAGACUUUUAGGGCUGACAAACAACUUGGGGUUCACGAAGCCUGCUCAAAGUCACAGUCACAGAGUUGCUGCAGUACUCCUGUGAGUUAGCUAUGAUGGUCAACCCCCACUUUCCAGAGGAAGAAACGGAGUAAUGGAGAGAGCAGGUAUACAUCCGAAAAAAUUGAAAACAGAUAUUCAAACAAAAACUUUCACUGAAAAGUUCAUAGCAGCACUACUCAAAAUGAUCAAAAGGAAGCAAUCCAAUGCACAGCUGAUGAACGAAUGAACAAAAUGUGAUAUGGCCAUACCAUGGAAUACCACUCAGCCACAAAAAGGAGCACGAUCCAGACACAUGCUGCAACAUGGAUAAACCUGGGAAAUAUUAUGGGAAGGCAAUGUCAUCUAUUGAAUACCCACACAGACUGGAUUUUGAAGCUUUAUAAGACCAAGGAAAGCUUGACUUAAUUUUAAGAUGGAAAAUCGAGGCACUUCCCUGAUGGCUCAGUGAUAAAGAAUCCACCUGUCAAUGCAGAAGACACAGGUUUCAUUCCUGAUCCAGGAAGAUCUCACAUGCCACAGAGCAACUAAGCCCCUGCACCACAACUGUUGAGCCCAUGCUCUAGAGCCCAGGAGCCACAACUACUGAGCCCAUGUGCUGCAACUACUGAAGCUCAAGCAUCUAGAACCUGUGCUUCACAGCAAGAGAAGCCCACGCAUCGCAAUUAGAGAGUAGCCCCCACUCUCCAUAACUGGAAAAAAGUCCACACAACUGGAGAAAAGUCCAUGCAACAACAAAGACCCAGCAC
ensembl:lncRNA